rnacentral:piRNA from 1 species
UAGAAAGAAUGGUCAUCGCCUUCCAUGCA